CACCGACUCAAUGGACAUGAGUUUGAGCAAGCUCUGGGAGAUGGUGAAGGACAGAGGAACUUGACGUGCCACAGGCCAUGGGGUUGCAAAGAGUCAGACACGAUUGUGCGACUGAACAGAGCAAGAAGUGUGGCUUAUGAUCAUUGUCAUAAUUAGCAGCCCAGAGUGUCCACCUGUCUAUCUGACUUUCGUCACUGACCCAGAUCCUCGCUGCAAGUCUCAGAGGAUGGAGCGUACAUAGAAAGAGGGCUGCCUUGAGCGCACUAGGUUACAGGAAUCAAAACCGGCCUCUCCCAUGUGGUGACCGUGGAUGACCGUGGUCAGAUGAGAUCAUGCCGUGAAGCCCUUUGGGAACUGUAAUGCUCUCAGCAGAUGGGGUAUGUUACUGUCUCCUCCUCUGGAAGGACCUUAGCCCUUCAGUCGGGAGCCUGACCAGCAUUGCUUGCUGAUGGAUCAGUGAUGCUCCUGUGGACCCUUCUGCAGUGAGGCCUUCAUCGCAUCGUGCUUGCCUGCAAUGGAAGCAUGGAGUCUUAACCGCUGGACCGCCAGGGAAGUCCCUUUUCCCCGCCUUUACUUGCUCAGGAGGCCUUAGCAUCAAGCCCAGGAGUUUGGCCUGUUGAAAGUGCUGGACUUUGUGCCCAGACUCUGGGACAGAGUCUCUUCUCUCCUUUGCUACCUUUUCUCCAAAACAAGGAAGUGUGUUGCUUGCUUGCCAUCCUCGAUUCAUGGUGAUCAGGAUGCUGCGGAAACCAGAUGUACGUUGAUGCCGUCUUCACCGGGGAGAAAGCUACUUUCCUAGAGGCUGGUUUUUCCAACCCUCCUUUCCUAGAAGCAAAGUCCACUGCCCCCAUCUCAGAUCCACCCUGUUCUCUGAAGUGGUCCAAAAGCAAGGGGAAGGGAGGAAGAUAAACACUUGAUAGGGAAGAGCAACAGCUGACUCUCCAGGGACCGGCCCGGCCCGCCCCGUGUCUCCCAUGGGAGCUCGAGUUGUUUCUGCACAGGUGCCCAAUGCCGUGUGUCCUGCGCAGGCUGGAGAUGGGCCAGCAGUGCCAUCUGCAUGCCUCCCCUCCAUGGACACAAAUGCACCUGCCGGGCUCAGAGCCAUCCAGACGGUUAAGAAACCCAAUCUCUACCUUGUUCCUCUUCACAG
ensembl:lncRNA